AUGGCCCAGCUGCUUGGGGCCCACCAACUUGGCCCAGCAUGGGCCUCCCAUGGAGAGAUUGUGCUGAGCCAGUCUCCUGCUGUCCUGUCCAUGGCUCCAAAAGAAGGAGUCACCAUCACCUGCCAGGCCAGUCAGAACAUUAACAAGUGGCUAGCCUGGUAUCAACAGGAGCCAGGGAGAGCUCCUAAGCUCCUGAUCUAUGAAGCAUCCAAGCUGGAAACUGGGGUCCCAUCAUGGUUCAGGGGCAGUGGGUCAGACAGACUUCACUUUACCAUCAGCAGCCUGGAGCCUGAAGAUACUGGGACCUACUACUGA